rnacentral:rRNA from 1 species
CCGUAAACGAUGAGUGCUAAGUGUUAGGGGGUUUCCGCCCCUUAGUGCUGCAGCUAACGCAUUAAGCACUCCGCCUGGGGAGUACGGUCGCAAGACUGAAACUCAAAGGAAUUGACGGGGGCCCGCACAAGGGGUGGAGCAUGUGGUUUAAUUCGAAGCAACGCGAAGAACCUUACCAGGUCUUGACAUCCUCUGACAAUCCUAGAGAUAGGACGUCCCCUUCGGGGGCAGAGUGACAAGUGGUGCAUGGUUGUCGUCAGCUCGUGUCGUGAGAUGUUGGGUUAAGUCCCGCAACGAGCGCAACCCUUGAUCUUAGUUGCCAGCAUUCAGUUGGGCACUCUAAGGUGACUGCCGGUGACAAACCGGAGGAAGGUGGGGAUGACGUCAAAUCAUCAUGCCCCUUAUGACCUGGGCUACACACGUGCUACAAUGGACAGAACAAAGGGCAGCGAAACCGCGAGGUUAAGCCAAUCCCACAAAUCUGUUCUCAGUUCGGAUCGCAGUCUGCAACUCGACUGCGUGAAGCUGGAAUCGCUAGUAAUCGCGGAUCAGCAUGCCGCGGUGAAUACGUUCCCGGGCCUUGUACACACCGCCCGUCACACCACGAGAGUUUGUAACACCCGAAGUCGGUGAGGUAACCUUUUAGGAGCCAGCCGCCGAAGGUG